UCUGAAGGGAAAGGGGUAUGGGGGGACAGCUGCCCUGAGGGUAUUACAGCCCUCAGGAGACUAAACUGUGAUGUGCCACAGGAAGAGAAUAGGAGGGAGUGAGGUGCCCCACUGCCAAAGACCCUUGCUGUGGCAAGAAACUGAUUAAUUGAGAUAUACCCAGACGAUCCUGGAAAGCACUCCACAUCCCAAGCCACAGAGCAAGGCAAAAGAAACCCAAAGGUCUCUGCCAAUCUGACUUGGGGGGAAAUUCUUCCCAAAUCCGCAUAUAGCACGCAGUUAGACUCUGAGCAUGAUGUGAACAAGAACCAGCCAGCUGUAGCCAUCACUGAUGCUUCUGAGGAAGAAGAGAAACAAAAUACAAAUACAGAAUAGGUUGUGGGGUUGGGCAAUCUCUUUCUGACCCCUGCAGGUGACCACCUGAAGCAUGAGAUGUGAGCAGAAAGGAUUUUGGGGAGCCUGGCAACAGCUGUCCAUCUUGUCAUGAAGGGAGCAUGGGAAGGAUCACUGGGUGGCUGCUCACCUCACACCUGUUAUGAGAUGCAGUCAACAAAAGAGGACCCUGCUAUCUACUGUUGCUGAGAACACUUCAGUGUAAGGAAGAGGCAGAAAAUGUUGUUUGAUUUUGGAUGGAUGGGUGACCCACUGAACAGCCUUUGGGGAGCACAAUUGAGAGAAGAGAUCUGAGGUUUUACCAAAGUAGCGAAUAUGGAGAAGAAGGUAGUAAGUGCAUUUCAGUUUGGUGCUAUGGUAGGAGAAUUUUUGGUUUGGUUUCUUUGCAUUUGCUAUAUCAAAGUAUCAAAGUGAAAGGGAGGCUUUAACUGAAGGGAAGAAGAAAAUGUUGCUCUAUUUGUGGAAAAUAUUGUGGAAGUGUCUAGAAAUUUGCCAAGAUUUAUUUGUAACUCCUUAGGAUGAUUUUGAGCCCCAAGUUCCUGGGAUGAGUGCAAAUGUCUCCUUAAAAUGUCAACAAACAACAGCCACUGAUGACUAUUAGCAACCUUGGAGUCCCAAUCUUUGAUCCAGACUCAGGAUAUGUCUACGGUGCAGUCAGAGGUGUGAUUGCAGCUCAGGUAGGCAUACCUGUACUAGCUUUAACCUAUCUAGCACAACUCAAAAUAAUAGCAAAACUGUAGCAUCAUGGGCCUCGGUGCAGGCUAGCAACAUAAUGUAAUCAAGAUCCCAGGUGGGCUUGUACAGCCCAUGCCACUGCAUCUUUACUAUUUUUAGCCAUGCCAGCUAGAUAAAAGGUGUAAUAUAUAGAUUGCUAGACAGCAUUUUUACCACUGUCAUCUACCUCAGCAGUCUGGACAACUCAUUGGUAAAGACACAAAGCAGCUCAUCCACACAAGUGCUCCCUGUGUUGCUAGCAUAAGUGCUGGACCAAUGGUGGAGGAACUCCCUAAAUUGACCUGUUUAGAUAAGGCCAAGGAAUCUGAUUCUCUCUCUGCUGUAUUUAAUCUGGUCCAGGCCUUGGUCUUGCUGUGUCCUCCCUUUCCCACAAUGAAAAUUUGGACGUUUGGCGGAAUUCAGUCAAACACCCUUCUGCAUGUGGUAGAAUAUUACUCUGUUAUGACAGCAAUGCUGAUUUGUUCACCUACUUUGUCAGAAAGAGGAGAAAUUAAAGUAGUGAAGAGAUUUCAGUAGACUGUUUGUCAUGACAGUGUAAUCUAGCUAAGAAUUAGCCACACACGUCAGAAUGAUCCAUUCGGAAGAAAGCCAAGCUUCAGUCCAAGUAGGCACUUUAUUUGUGGUUGGAAUGCUAACAUUGAUAUAAUGGAAUAUCUCAUAUACAUUGGAAAUAUACACAUACAUCCCCACUCAAGGUUGUUGGUUUUUAUUUUAUUUUGCAUAAAAGGCCUCCCUGCAUAGAGUGAGCAUCUUUGGGAAAUCAAAGGAAGGGACAGUUAUCACAACAACAUAGAGGGGCCAAUCCUGCAGUCUUUGUACAGGCAAAAUACCAUUGCUGGAUCAGCCCUGAAGGAUCCAGGGAAGGAAGUGGAACAUGAGUGGUUUACAGGGACAUAAAGGGGUAUUUUAAAGACAGUCGGAGACAGUUGUUCUUAAAGGUAAGAUGAGCAAUUAUGGCUUUAAGAUGCAGCCUAGGUAGGUAGAGAAAAAAGCUUCUAAUCACACAGUCAAUUGAGUAACAGAAACAGGCUUCCAUAAGGAGAUAGAGAGAAUCACCAACUCACAGCAUAACAAUCAAUCACUGGAGUUCAUUUUGGGGCAUUAGCAUCCUGCUACACAGUGUGCAUGUGUAAAUGUACUAGACUGUCUUUCCAGUCUGAGUGAUUCAGCGACAACAACAAUAUUCUGAACAGCUCCUUAAUAGAAGAUAUGUCCCUUUGCUGCAGAAGGCAGGGCCCCUCCAAUGUUUAUCUACUUCACCAGGAUGAAUAAAGAAGCAUGUUCAUUAUAGUACAGUGUAGGUGUAGUUGUCAUCUUUAAAAAGGGGAAAGAGGCUACAUUACAAUUAUAUCAAGACUAUGAAGGCAGAGAGAGGGCUGCUUUCUGGUAUUCAAUCUGAAUUCCAUUAGGGAAUUUAAGUAGGACUUCCUCCCCAUCCUGUUCCUUAAAUUUCAUAGUUACUUAGACUACAACUGAGUCUGCAGAAUACAUCCCAAGCCAAAGCAAUGGUUUCUGCUGGAACUAUGCUUCCUCAUCAACUCUUGUAUGGCUGAAAAUACAAAUCUUUCCAUAGUGACUUAAAAUGAGCCAUCUUAUGAGAAAAAUAUCCUAAUAACAGAAAGGCCCUGAAAUCCCCUUUGCUGUUGGUCCUUCUGGGCACCUGCUAUUUUAGAACUUUAUUUCUACAGCAACCAAAAUGAUUCUAUCAGAAAGAUAAUUAGCAAUUGAGCUGGAGAAACAAGCAGCAGAAAUAGACCAUCCACAGAGCCUGUCCUUGUGAAAAUAUCCCUAGCAGUAAAACCAAAACAAAAGACUGUGGAAGAGAUGAAAAAGAGCAAUAGAUGAGCAGAAUAAUCUUGCACAAAACAUUUUGCAAACAUUUUCCAUUAGAUGCCAGUAAAUCAAAUCUGUAGUUUUGUUUCUAUAACCACUCCUGCCCCCUUACCCAGGUGACCAUCUGUCCUUUUGAACAUCCUGUAUCUGGUGCUUACUGUCCCACAGCCCAUCUCCGGUAAAUAGCGUUUGAUCAGAUAGUUUGUUUUCAGGUAAUAAUCCUGCACAGGAUCAUGCACUAUAAAUCUAGGAUUUUGUGACAUGAAU